rnacentral:rRNA from 1 species
AGUUAAAAAGCUCGUAGUUGGAUUUCUGCGGGGACGGAGCGGCCGGUCGCAACUUGCGACUCGAGCUAGCGCUUUCCCCGCAUCCUGCCGCGAACCGUGCUACCAUUAGUUUGGUGGCGCUGGGGAUCGGCUCGAUUACUUUGAGAAAAAUAGAGUGUUCAAAGCAGGCCACACGCCUUGAAUAAGUUAGCAUGGAAUAAUAACUAAGGACUUCGGUUCUAUUUUGUUGGUGUUCGGGACUGAAGUAAUGAUUGAUAGGGACAGUUGGGGCGGUCUGUAUUCCAAAGCGAGAGGUGAAAUUCUUAGACCUUCGGAAGACAAACAGCUGCGAAAGCGUUCCGCAAGGAUGCUCCCUUUGAUCAAGAACGAAAGUUGGGGGAUCGAAGACGAUCAGAUACCGUCGUAGUCUCAACUAUAAACUAUACCAGCUAGGGAUCGGCCAACGUUCAAUAUAAUCGACUUGGUCGGCACCUUAUGAGAAAUCAAAGCAUCUGGGUUCCGGGGGGAGUAUGGUCGCAAGGCUGAAACUUAAAGGAAUUGACGGAAGGGCACCACCAGCCGUGGAGCCUGUGGGCUUAAUUUGACUCAACCACGGGGAAAAACUUACCAGGUUCCAGACA